rnacentral:rRNA from 1 species
AGAGUUUGAUCAUGGCUCAGGAUGAACGCUGGCGGCGUGCCUAAUACAUGUAAGUCGAACGGAAGAUGUAGCAAUAUGUCUUUAGUGGCGAACGGGUGAGUAACGCGUUGGUGACCUGCCCCGAAGAGAGGGAUAACAGACCGAAAGGUUUGCUAAUACCGCGUAAUUUCCUUCUAGUUAGAGAGGAGGGAAGAAAGGCCGAAAGGCGCUUUGGGAGGGGCCUGCGUCCCAUCAGCUAGUUGGCGAGGUAAAAGCUCACCAAGGCGAUGACGGGUAGGGGACCUGAGAGGGUGACCCCCCACAAUGGAACUGAAACACGGUCCAUACACCUACGGGUGGCAGCAGUAGGGAAUAUUGGUUAAUGGGCGAAAGCCCGACCCAGCAACGCCGCGUGCACGAAGAAGGCCUUCGGGUUGUAAAGUGCUUUUUAGUGGGAUGAGGAAGGACAGUACCACUAGAAUAAGUCUCGGCUAACUACGUGCCAGCAACCGCGGUAACACGUAGGAGACGAGCGUUAUCCGGAUUUACUGGGUGUAAAGCGCGUGCAGGCGGUCGGGUAAGUUGGAUGUGAAAGCUCCUGGCUUAACUGGGAGAGGUCGUUCAAAACUGCCGGGCUAGAGUGCAACAGAGGGGAGUGGAAUUCCGAGUGUAGCGGUAAAAUGCAUAGAUAUUCGGAAGAACACCAGUGGCGAAGGCGGCUCUCUGGGUUGCAACUGACGCUCAGACGCGAAAGCUAGGGUAGCGAACGGGAUUAGAGACCCCGGUAGUCCUAGCCGUAAACGAUGUGGACUUGGCGUGGGUGGGUUGAAAUCCAUCUGUGCCGAAGCAAACGCGAUAAGUCCACCACCUGGGGACUACGGCCGCAAGGUUAAACUCAAAGGAAUUG